AUGUGCCUGUGUGGCUGGACUCGGCCGCCGCUGCGGCAGCGCGUCUACAUAGGACGCCUGAGCCACAACGUCCAGGAGAAGAACAUCCAGCGCUUUUUCAGUGGCUAUGGCCGCCUCCUCGAAGUAAACCUCAAAAAUGGGUACGGCUUCGUGGCGUUCGAGGACUCCCGCGACGCCGAAGACGCCGUUUACGAGCUGUACGGCAAGAGCUCUGCGGCGAGCGCGUGACCGUAGAGCACGCCCGCGGCCCGCGUCGCGAUCGCGACGGCUACAGCUACGGAAGCCGCAGUGGUGCAGGUGGAUGCAGCAGUCCGAGAACGUCUGGCAGAGACAAAUACGGACCACCUGUUCAUACAGAAUACAGGCUUAUUGUAGAAAAUCUUUCUAGUCGGUGCAGUUGGCAAGACUUAAAGGAUUUUAUGCGACAAGCAGGUGAAGUAACCUAUGCGGAUGCCCACAAAGAACGAACAAAUGAGGGUGUAAUUGAGUUUCGCUCCUACCCUGACAGGAAGCGUGCUUUGGACAAACUGGAUGGUACAGAAAUAAAUGGCAGAAAUACUAGGCUUAUUGAAGACAAGCCACGCACAAGCCAUAGGCGAUCUUACUCUGGAAGCAGAUCCAGGUGUCGAUCUAGAAGACGGUCAUGAAGUGGGAGUCGCAGGAGCAGCCGCAGCAGAUCUCGAAGUAUCUCAAAAAGUCGCUCCCGUUCCAGACGCGGAGCAAAGGUCGGUCACGUUCUCAAUCAAAAGGCAGGAAAUCUAGAUCAAAGAGCAAAUCUAAGCCCAAGUCUGAUCGGGGCUUCCAUUCACAUUCUCGAAGCAGAUCUAAGGAUGAGUAUGAGAAAUCUCGAAGCAGGUCUCGGUCCCGAUCCCCCAAAGAAAAUGGAAAGGGUGAUAUCAAGAAUCCAGUCCCGUUCCAAUUCGCCACAACCUGUUCACCCCUCAAAGGCUCGUUCUGUGGCCCCUCCUCCAAAAAGAGCUACUUCAAGAUCCCGUUCUAGAUCUCGCUCAAAGUCAAGAUCAAGGUCCAGGUCGAGUUCCAGAUAUUAAUUCAGAACUCCUCUUCUUUGCACACUAUUGCAGAACAUUUUCCUACUUGCUUAGGCAGUUACUCUUACAUGUUUGUACCUGGCCUCUUCUGCAACAGGAAUUCUCCUGAAGUCAGGGGCACACGGAAAUUUGAUUCCUGGCCAGAUUUGAUGAAAAAGAUGAGGUUCUAAGGAAAUGGUGGCAUGAAGUCAAAGACCCUCUCCCUUCUUUGUAGAAUUAAGAUGACUUUGAUUUUAUAGCUUUUGAGCUACAAUAACUUUUGUAAAGAUUAAGCUCAUUUAGCUGUUUUGUUUUUAAGUAUUUCAGCAGGAUCUGCUGGCAGGGUUUUUUGUUUUAUUUGUUUGCUUAUUUUUAAUUAACUGUUUCAGGCUUCCAAUACUUAAGGCUUUCGAGGGAGAACCCAAUUUUCAAUUAUAUUGGCUUUUUAUAAAGCUUGAGUUAUGUAAGAUUUAAAUAAAUGUUUGCUACCAAGAUGAUUGCCUUAUUGAAUAGGUCACUAUUAAAUUCCUUUAAAUGUUGAUAUCUGCUAUUUGUGGAAACAGUAUAAAUUCUGCUUAAGUGUAAAACAAGGCAAGCCUCGGACCAGCAAUAAAUUAUUCAGUUUGCAUAAUA